UUCCGGUUGAUCCUGCCGGACCUGACUGCUAUCGGAUUGAUACUAAGCCAUGCGAGUCUUUGUAGUAAUACAAGGCAGACGGCUCAGUAACACGUAGUCAACCUACCCUAUGGACGAGAAUAAUCUCGGGAAACUGAGCAUAAUUCUUGAUAGAUCAUAAUGCCUGGAAUGGUUUAUGGUUAAAAUGAUUCGUCGCCAUAGGAUGGGACUGCGGCCUAUCAGCUUGUUGGUGGGGUAAUGGCCCACCAAGGCGAUUACAGGUACGGGCUCUGAGAGGAGAAGCCCGGAGAUGGGUACUGAGACAAGGACCCAGGCCCUAUGGGGCGCAGCAGGCGAGAAAACUUUGCAGUGUGCGAAAGCACGACAAGGUUAAUCCGAGUGAUUUCUGCUAAAGAAAUCUUUUGCAAGUCAUAAAACCACUAGUGAAUAAGGGGUGGGCAAGUUCUGAUGUCAGCCGCCGCGGUAAAACCAGCACCUCAAGUGGUCAGGAGGAUUAUUGGGCCUAAAGCAUCGGUAGCCGGCUCUGUAAGUUUUCGGUUAAAUCCAUGUGCUCAACGCAUGGGCUGUCGAAAAUACUGCAUAGCUAGGGAGUGGGAGAGGUAGACGGUACUCGGUAGGAAGGGGUAAAAUCCUUUGAUCUAUCGAUGACCACCUGUGGCGAAGGCGGUCUACCAGAACACGUUCGACGGUGAGGGAUGAAAGCUGGGGGAGCAAACCGGAUUACAUACCCCGGUUAGUCCCAGCUGUAAACGAUGCGAACUCAAAUG
rnacentral:rRNA from 1 species